UACGUAGGGUGCAAGCGUUAAUCGGAAUUACUGGGCGUAAAGCGUGCGCAGGCGGUUAUGUAAGACAGGUGUGAAAUCCCCGGGCUUAACCUGGGAACUGCAUUUGUGACUGCAUAGCUAGAGUACGGUAGAGGGGGAUGGAAUUCCGCGUGUAGCAGUGAAUGCGUAGAUAUGCGGAGGAACACCGAUGGCGAAGGCAAUCCCCUGGACCUGUACU
rnacentral:rRNA from 1 species